rnacentral:rRNA from 1 species
AUUCCAGCUCCAAGAGCGUAUAUUAAAGUUGUUGCAGUUAAAAAGCUCGUAGUUGGAUUUCUGGUACAACGCGCCUGGCCCGCUUAUGUGAGUGCCGGUGCGCGUUUGCCAUCCUUCUAGAAAACGUUUCUACCCGGGCAACUGGGCCGGACUCGCGAUCUAGAUCUUUUACUUUGAAAAAAUUAGAGUGUUUAAAGCAGGCUUUUGCUGUGAAUACAUUAGCAUGGAAUAAUAAUCUAGGACUUCGGUUCUAUUUUGUUGGUUUCUAGUACUGAAGUAAUGAUUGAUAGGGAUAGUUGGGGGUGCUAGUAUUGGCCGGCCAGAGGUGAAAUUCUUGGAUUCGGUCAAGACUAACUUAUGCGAAAGCAUUCACCAAGGAUGUCUUCAUUA